GCUAGGCACAGUGGCGCAUGCCUGUAAUCCCAAUGACUUGGGAGGCUGAGGCAGGAGGAUCACAAGUUCUAAGCCAGCCUCAGCAACUUAGCAAGACCUUGUCUCAA
rnacentral:sRNA from 1 species